rnacentral:sRNA from 2 species
GCAUAUUUGUAUUCCAGCUCAUUUAAAUUCCUUUUGAUCUUUCUCUUGUCAUUUGCCUGGAAGAUAUGAAGAGCAUGAGCGGGGAGUGUGAUUACUCGUCAAUUUCUUGCUUUAGGUGGCUUCAUCAAGUUGAGUUCGGAUAUUAGCAUAUGUGGCUAAUUCCUGGGAUUUUCACUCCUGUAAGGCUGCAGGUGGAGCAGGAACUUCCCGAAUCGGUCAAUCGGCUUGGGAUAUUUUAGCCAACCCCGUAUCCAACUUAAACGGAACAUAUCCCAUAUUACAGGCUGAACCGCCGUAGCAAUGACCCAAUGACGAACGGUGACACUCGUGGCUGUUGAAAUGCAAAGCCUCUGCCGCCUUGCUUAUCCAUGGAGGACUAUCCUCUCAAACCGACGAGCUAUGGUUACUAGAAAGCGAGAACACACGGUGGCCAUUGCCAUAAAAAAAAUAGAGACAACUUCAGAGGCAUGUUAAAUACCGUAACAACAGUAAUGGAAAGCUUUACCCAUCAUACCAAGCACUCAGUGACUGGGAGUAUCACCUUACCAAAUUUUCUUACCCUUACAGCCGCCCC